GCCGAACAAGACCACUCGCAAGGCUCUUAACCUUGUGGUCGUGGGUUCGAGCCCCACGGUGGGCG
rfam:Saprolegnia parasitica CBS 223.65 unplaced genomic scaffold supercont2.19, whole genome shotgun sequence.